GACGAACGCUGGCGGCGUGCUUAACACAUGCAAGUCGAACGGAAAGGCCCUGCUUUUGUGGGGUGCUCGAGUGGCGAACGGGUGAGUAUCACGUGAGUAACCUGCCCUUGACUUUGGGAUAACUUCAGGAAACUGGGGCUCAUAUCGGAUAGGAGCUCCUGCUGCAUGGUGGGGGUUGGAAAGUUUCGGCGUUUGUGGAUGGACUCGCGGCUUAUCAGCUUGUUGGUGGGGUAGUGGCUUACCAAGGCUUUGACGGGUAGCCGGCCUGAGAGGGUGACCGGCCACAUUGGGACUGAGAUACGGCCCAGACUCCUACGGGAGGCAGCAGUGGGGAAUAUUGCACAAUGGGCGGAAGCCUGAUGCAGCAACGCCGCGUGCGGGAUGACGGCCUUCGGGUUGUAAACCGCUUUCGCCUGUGACGAAGCGUGAGUGACGGUAAUGGGUAAAGAAGCACCGGCUAACUACGUG
rnacentral:rRNA from 1 species